GAUUUUCUUGUCUCAUCUGGAAAAUGGGAUCACACCUACCCUUAAGGGUUACCAGUGAAAAGAUCAAAUUUUUAAAAAAGCAAGAAAAAAAUUAUGCAGAAGCCUUUCCUGGAGCUUUACGCAUAGAGAUUGAAAACAAAUUUUAAUUGUCAAUAUCAUAGAUUCACUUUCCAAAAUAAAACAGUAUUUUAAAAGAGCUCCCCUAUACCAUGUAUUAAGCAUUUUGUGUAUUACUAGAGCUUUCUGAAAGAGCAGGUUUCUUAUAAUAGCCACUGUCCUGUUUUCUUGGUUAUAGGGCAACUUGUGGCUGUAUCUCAAUGAAAACUAACUUCACUAAACAAAGAGUAAUUAGUCAAAGGCUGGGCUUGGUGGCUUACACCUGUAAUCCCAACACAUUGAGAGGCUGAGGCCGAGGAGGGAGGAUUGCUUGAGGCCAGGAGUUUGAGACCAACGUGAGCAACAUAAUGAGACCCUUGUCUACUAAAAGUAAAAAUAAAUUAGCUAGGCAUGCAUAAUGGCAAGUGCCUGUAAUCCCAGCUACUUGGGAGGCUGAGGUGGGAGGAUCGAUUGAGUCCAGGAGGUUGAGGUGGCAGUAAGCUAUGAUAGCAUCCGUGCACUCCAGCCUGGGUGACAGAGCAAAGCCUUGUCUCUAAAAAAAUUGUUUUAAUUAAAGAGUUGUUAGCCAAGUGUGCAAAGCAACUGUUUGUAACCAAUUCCUUGCUUUUGAGUAAACAUAAGCAUUUAUUGGUACUUCCUGAGUACCAACCCUCAUACUAGAUGCCUUAUGUACUUUGUUUCUAAUCCCCAGAACAAAUAUGUGAUAGAUGUUCUUAUUCACACAAACAGCAGAAGAAGCAGCAUCAAUAAGUACCUCCAUCAUUGGGAUUGGAAGCAGUAUAGCUCUUGGAAGUUGAACUAAUUCUUUAUUGUAUUUUCACUUAUAGAAUAAUUGAGGGAUUUAAUUUUCUAUUUUAAAUGUUAUAGCCUCAUAGUAAGGAUUUAUGUUUUAUUUUGGAAUCAUAUUUGCUUUACAAAAAAUAUAGAAAUAUUAAAAAACAACCACUUCACAAUUACUGGGAUGGCUGUAAUAAAAAAGACAGGGAAUAACAAGUAUUGGUGAGGAUGUGGAGAAACUGGAACCCUCAUACAUUGCUGGUAGGAAUGUAAAACGGUGCAGCUGCUCUGUAAAACCACAGUCUGGCAGUGUCUCAAAAGUUAAAUGUACAGUUACCAUAUGACCCAGAAAUUCCACUCCUAGGUAUAUACCCAAGAGAAAUAAAAACGUAUCCACACAAAAACUUGUGCAUAAAUGUUCAUGACAGCCUUAUUCACCAGAGCCGAAAAGUGGAAACAAGGCAAAUGGCCAUCACCUGAUAAAUGAACAAACAAUAUGUAAUAUAUUCAUGCAAUGUAAUAGUAUUUGGCAACAAAAAGAAAUGCUGUGCGAUGAACCUCAAAAACACUCUACGUGAAAAAAGCCAGUUACAGAAAAACACAAAUUGUAUAAUCCCAUUUAUAUGAAAUGUUCAGAAGAGGCAAAUCUACAGAGACAAAAAGUAGAUCGGUAGCUGCUCAGAGCUAAGGAAGGCGAAAGGAAUUUGGAAGGAGGUGGGUGUCAGAGGAAAAUCGUGCUACACAGUUGAACAGGCAAGGAAGACUUUUCUAAGACUUAAAAUAAGGGGAGAGAUCAAACUCAAGUCUGCUGAAACAAAAGGUCAGCAGGUUUGGAAGUGCUGGGUGAGCUAGUGGAAAAGUCCUGGAGGACAUAGAAGGGGAGGUUGGUCAGUGUAAUUAGGCCAACUGUGCUUGCUAAUUUGUACUUAGUGAAGUUAGGCUCCUACCCUUCCACAGAGACUAGGAGAUAGGGGCACCAGCUUACUUGAUUACAUUUGAAGGAAUGGCUCUAGGUCCUUGAGAAAGAGAUACUUGGGUUAUUAAACUGGCAAGAAGCUGGAAGAGGAUCUAUCUUCAUUUCAAAGGAGCAAAUAAUUUUCAAUUACAAGUUUUCUAAAGUAAAUGCUCUAAGAACAGGGAGGUCAGGGACCUAUAAUCAGGAAGGAACUUGUCUAUAGGCUAGUCAACCUGAGGGGAAUAAUAAUACUGUCUUUGCCAAUGGAUACAAAGUUUAUUUUUGAUAUGAUGAAAAUGUUCUAAAAUUAGAUCAAAUGAAUGUUGUAAAACUCUGUAAAUGUACUAAAAACCAUUACAUUGUACACCCUAAAUGGGUCAGCUUUGUGGUAUGUAAAUUAUAGCUCAAUAAAGCUGUGUUUAAAAGAUCAGAGAACAAAAAUACAAAUAAUAUCCCUUUUUUUCUGUUUGCUUUUAGAAUUAGAUCUAGCUAUUCCACU
rnacentral:lncRNA from 10 species